CCCCUCCGAGCCAUCCAGCAGCCUCAACUCCCUCCACUAGCUCUCCCCAACCUCUUCCCCAAUCUCCAGGAGCUCUCCUGCCCUCCCCUUGCCUCCAUGGCCGGCACAUCCUUCCGCCUAAAUUCGCACUCACCGGAGCUUUUCCCGUCAUCUUUCCACCACCAGAGAACUCCCCAGGUCCCUACGGUGCUCCGCAUUUCUUCAGUUCGUCCCCAGGGUGCAUGUAUGCCCCGAAGCCAGCCUUGCCCGCGGGCCUCCAAGCCGCCGCCAGCCCAGCCCUCCCCGGCAUUCGUCCGGUGCCAGGAUGGAAGCGGUGUUCCCUCCCGAGCUCACCGGUGGUCGGAGUGCCGCGGAUGAUGGCCGGAGUCAGCGGGACGAGCGCCGACGUCAGUGACCUCCCUCUGUUCUGCGAGCAGGCGACGAGAGAAGAAGAAGGAGGCGGGAGGAGAGAGAGAUCCGAUUGGACCAACCUGUCACCGACCGCGACCCCCUGUACAGCUGGAUAAGUGGAAGCGCAGUUCCAGGAAUACGUCUUCCCCACUAGGAAAGCGUAUUCUGGCUCUGUUUUGGUUUGCAGGUCAUGCCGUGAUUGAUUGCUUGUCAAGGUUCCCGAGUUUGCGAGCUAGGAUACGCGUUCCAGCCAGAGUCCCUGCGGAGUGGAGUCCAUCGCUGCCGUCGUUGUUCCGCUGAUACGAGUUGUUCUGCUUCUAGCAUAGAGCAACCUGAGAAGGCGUAGUGUCGCCGUGCCGAUGUAAUUCGCUGUGAUAUCGGAACCAUUGUAUCCAUAUCAUUUGUAAUACGAGCUUAUUUGUUCUAUGCCAAGCAGUGACGUAUUCCAGAA